rnacentral:rRNA from 1 species
GACGAACGCUGGCGGCGUGCCUAAUACAUGCAAGUCGAGCGAAUCUGAGGGAGCUUGCUCCCAAAGAUUAGCGGCGGACGGGUGAGUAACACGUGGGCAACCUGCCUGUAAGACUGGGAUAACUUCGGGAAACCGGAGCUAAUACCGGAUAAUUCUUUUCUUCUCAUGAGGGAAAGCUGAAAGAUGGCUUCGGCUAUCACUUACAGAUGGGCCCGCGGCGCAUUAGCUAGUUGGUGAGGUAACGGCUCACCAAGGCGACGAUGCGUAGCCGACCUGAGAGGGUGAUCGGCCACACGGGGACUGAGACACGGCCCAGACUCCUACGGGAGGCAGCAGUAGGGAAUCUUCCGCAAUGGACGAAAGUCUGACGGAGCAACGCCGCGUGAGUGAUGAAGGUUUUCGGAUCGUAAAGCUCUGUUGUUAGGGAAGAACAAGUACCGUUCGAAUAGGGCGGUACCUUGACGGUACCUAACCAGAAAGCCACGGCUAACUACGUGCCAGCAGCCGCCGCGGUAA